GAGCGGAAAAGACGUGAAAGCUGUGUGUGUAACAAACAGGAGAACUAUGGGUCAGGAGGACAUGAUUCAGGAACAACCGACAGAGGCAGCGACACCAGCAGCCGCUCAUGAGGGUCCGGAGGCCACGGACGGCAGCAAGGAGACCACAGAGAGAAUAUUCUGCCUUAUUGGGGUCACUGCUACCAUCCUCAACCUUCUAGUAGUGGUGUUAGUGUACAUUUACACCCCUGUGUGAAGAGAAGUUCAUUACUUUCAACUGGACACCCAACCACUAACCUUCAGACAUCUGGACGCCCUUACUGCUUUGGUGAUGAUCAUCCUGGGAAUAUAUUUCCCAUGACAAUGCUUUAUGUUUUAUUUAUCUUUUGUUAAAGUGUUUGGAUGCAUAGCUGUGACUGACAAAGUAAAUGAAGUUUAGGCUAA